rnacentral:rRNA from 1 species
GACGAACGCUGGCGGCGUGCUUAACACAUGCAAGUCGAACGGAAAGGCCCUGCUUUUGUGGGGUGCUCGAGUGGCGAACGGGUGAGUAACACGUGAGUAACCUGCCCUUGACUUUGGGAUAACUUCAGGAAACUGGGGCUAAUACCGGAUAGGAGCUCCUGCUGCAUGGUGGUGGUUGGAAAGUUUCGGCGGUUGGGGAUGGACUCGCGGCUUAUCAGCUUGUUGGUGGGGUAGUGGCUUACCAAGGCUUUGACGGGUAGCCGGCCUGAGAGGGUGACCGGCCACAAUGGGACUGAGAUACGGCCCAGACUCCUACGGGAGGCAGCAGUGGGGAAUAUUGCACAAUGGGCGGAAGCCUGAUGCAGCAACGCCGCGUGCGGGAUGACGGCCUUCGGGUUGUAAACCGCUUUCGCCUGUGACGAAGCGUGAGUGACGGUAAUGGGUAAAGAAGCACCGGCUAACUACGUG